CUUGAACGAGUAUAUAUUGAUGUCGAUGCCUACUUUCAUACAAACUUUGAGAGGACGUAUUCGGCUUUAAUUAGUUGGCUUCAAGCGCUCAGUAAUUAUGUACAGAUAAUGACGCUUUCUUCAAGUACCCUUAAGAUAUUAAAUGUUCUCUCGACUUCGAUGAUAAGUCAACUUCCUUGCUUUGUUAGAUUGGAAUCGUUGAAAUUGAAAAUGAAAUCUUCUUCAAAUAUAUCAGAUGAGAAAGUUAGCAGGAUAGUGGAGUUCUUGCUUCAAAAAUCUCCGCUGGCGAAAGUUGAGAUGAUAGAUUGUUGAGUGAUAUGCAUGCAUAACUUCUCAGAUGAAUUUUUUUUAUGGAUGGAUGAUGAAAAUGUUGGUCUUGCAAUUUGAAUUUGGAGAAUAAUGGUUAGUAAAAUCUUCCAUUUAAAACUGAGUUGAUUCUGCAUCAAGAAACAAAGUUUUUAUUUGGAUGCCUUUUAAAUUAUAAUAAAUAUUAUUUAGUGGCAAUCCAAUUUAAACUAUCUUUUUUGUAAUAUUGAUUAUAAUUUAGAUCAUACUCAAAGACAACUGCUGAAUAAAAAAAGGGCACAUCAUAGACUGAAGAAUCUAAAGUGUGUUUGUUUUUUGGUAAUUCAUGCUGCAUAUUGUUUGUCAAGUUUUAAAUUUUAAUCCAUGAAAAUGCAUCAAAUAGUAUUCUACUAUGAUUAAGACUAACUUUAUUAUUUAGGCAUAAUUUAAACUUUUAGAGGAUUUCUAGUUUGUUGUUUGUUUUCAUUCCCAUUAACAUGAUUUUGGGAAAUAAUUAGUGAAAAUAACAAAAUUUGUUUUCGCCAUGAUCUUUACUAAAUCCAUGCUCAACUUUUAUAUGAAAUUUUUUGAUGCAUUUGAGGGUGUUGAAUUGGUUGCUGCCCAAUAACUGAAGUGAUAUAAGAUGAACAUACUAUUAUAAAUCACAGAAGCAUGGAUCAUGAAGCGACAAAAUGAUGAGAUAAUAGAAACUCUUAAUGAGAUCUAUAUUUUAUGUGGAGUGGAGCACCUAGCUACAAUAGUACUCUUGAUAAAUUCAUCUAUUUGAGACAUAAUUUCUAGAGUGUUUACUAUAUUAGGAUAGACGUGCAUGCCCAUUAAUGCACGAACUUUUGAGAAUACAUCAUAUGAAAAGGUUAUGGUCCUAAAAUCAUUGUCCCUUCAAUUUUAGAGCGACCUUCGUGUCGUAUUCCCUUUUGAUUUACGAGUGGUAUUAGUAUCAAACUUA